UUUCACACAAGAUCUAUUCAAGCAUUUCCACGAGGUACUGAACCUCAUAAUCACAGCUCAUGGGUCCCCUUCUAAGCAGAACUGGUGAUGCGGGAUGAACCGGAAGCCGAGUUACGGUGCUAAACUGCACGCUAACCUAGAUCCCACAAAGGGUGUUGGUCGAUUAAGACAGCAGGACAGUGGUCAUGGAAGUCGAAAUCCGCUAUGGAGUGUGUAACAACUCACUUUCCGAAUCAACUAGCCCCGGAAAUGGACGGCGAUUGCUGCAAAACCUUGGGCGUGAGCGUUGGCGGAGCGGCCGUCG
rnacentral:ncRNA from 1 species